UACGUAGGGGGCAAGCGUUGUCCGGAUUUAUUGGGCGUAAAGAGCGUGUAGGCGGCCAGGUAGGUCCGCUGUGAAAACUCGAGGCUCAACCUCGAGAUGUCGGCGGAAACCAUCUGGCUAGAGUCCGGAAGAGGAGAGUGGAAUUCCUGGUGUAGCGGUGAAAUGCGCAGAUAUCAGGAGGAACACCAGUGGCGAAGGCGACUACCUGGCCUGUUCUUGACGCUGAGGCGCGAAAGCUGGGGGAGCAAACGGG
rnacentral:rRNA from 1 species